rnacentral:rRNA from 1 species
GAGUUUGAUCGUGGCUCAGAUUGAACGCUGGCGGCAUGCCUUACACAUGCAAGUCGAACGGUAACAGGUCUUCGGAUGCUGACGAGUGGCGAACGGGUGAGUAAUACAUCGGAACGUGCCCGAUCGUGGGGGAUAACGAAGCGAAAGCUUUGCUAAUACCGCAUACGAUCUACGGAUGAAAGCAGGGGACCGCAAGGCCUUGCGCGAACGGAGCAGCCGAUGGCAGAUUAGGUAGUUGGUGGGAUAAAAAGCUUACCAAGCCGACGAUCUGUAGCUGGUCUGAGAGGACGACCAGCCACACUGGGACUGAGACACGGCCCAGACUCCUACGGGAGGCAGCAGUGGGGAAUUUUGGACAAUGGGCGAAAGCCUGAUCCAGCCAUGCCGCGUGCAGGAUGAAGGCCU